UGGGGAAUUUUGGACAAUGGGCGAAAGCCUGAUCCAGCAAUGCCGCGUGUGUGAAGAAGGCCUUCGGGUUGUAAAGCACUUUUGUCCGGAAAGAAAUCCUUGGCUCUAAUACAGUCGGGGGAUGACGGUACCGGAAGAAUAAGCACCGGCUAACUACGUGCCAGCAGCCGCGGUAAUACGUAGGGUGCAAGCGUUAAUCGGAAUUACUGGGCGUAAAGCGUGCGCAGGCGGUUUGCUAAGACCGAUGUGAAAUCCCCGGGCUCAACCUGGGAACUGCAUUGGUGACUGGCAGGCUAGAGUAUGGCAGAGGGGGGUAGAAUUCCACGUGUAGCAGUGAAAUGCGUAGAGAUGUGGAGGAAUACCGAUGGCGAAGGCAGCCCCCUGGGCCAAUACUGACGCUCAUGCACGAAAGCGUGGGGAGCAAAGCAGGAUUAGAUACCCUGGUAGUCCACGCCCUAAACGAUGUCAACUAGUUGUUGGGGAUUCAUUUCCUUAGUAACGUAGCUAACGCGUGAAGUUGACCGCCUGGGGAGUACGGUCGCAAGAUUAAAA
rnacentral:rRNA from 1 species